rnacentral:lncRNA from 1 species
GAGAGGAAACAGGAAGAGCUGCUGAAAGAAAGUUUAAUUAAGAUGGCAGGAGGCCCCACUGAGAACAUCUAAUCUUCCCCGGUUGGCACACUCUUCCAUAACCCACGUGAGGCUGCAGGAGGUGUAGGUGGGUGAGCAUGCCCCGUUUCAGAGACAGCCAGAGAGGGCAGUGACCGCACCGGCACACACUGGACGUCCUGCUUCAGCUCCUUCAGAGUGCAGUCUGUGUAUGACCAGGAGCUGGGACCCGAGUCACCUGUAGCGUCUGCUCAGCCUCCAGGAGAAAGUCUCCAAGUUCAAGGCCAGCUGCACAGGGUGGAGCAGCCAAAGCCAUCCUCUCCCGCAGAGGACUGAGAGCCCUGGCCCAGCAAGACCGGUGAGGACAGGAGAGGGCGGGCCUUCCCACACCGGAAGUCGGGCCUUCCCACACCGGAAGUCAGUCUGCAGCCACAGCGAGCACACCAUGGGCAUCUCUGCCACCC